rnacentral:rRNA from 2 species
AGCAUCCGUAGCUCGUUUUGUAAGUUUUCGGUUAAAUCCAUGCGCUUAACGUAUGGGCUGCCGGGAAUACUGCAUAACUAGGAAGUGGGAGAGGUAGACGGUACUCGGUAGGAAGGGGUAAAAUCCUUUGAUCUAUUGAUGACCACCUGUGGCGAAGGCGGUCUACCAGAACACGUUCGACGGUGAGGGAUGAAAGCUGGGGGAGCAAACCGGAUUAGAUACCCGGGUAGUCCCAGCUGUAAACUAUGCAAACUCAGUGAUGCAUUGGCUUGUGGCCAAUGCAGUGCUGCAGGGAAGCCGUUAAGUUUGCCGCCUGGGAAGUACGUACGCAAGUAUGAAACUUAAAGGAAUUGGCGGGGGAGCACAAGCCG